AGACAGCAGUCGCCGCGGUAAUACAGAGGGUGCAAGCGUUAAUCGGAAUUACUGGGCGUAAAGCGCGCGUAGGUGGUUCGCCAAGUUGGAUGUGAAAUCCCGCAGCUCAACUGCGGAACUGCCUUUGAUACUGGGUAUCUUGAGUAUGGAAGAGGUUAGUGGAAUUGCGAGUGUAGAGGUGAAAUUUGUAGAUAUUCGCAGGAACACCAGUGGCGAAGGCGGCUAACUGGUCCAUAACUGACGCUGAGGUGCGAAAGCGUGGGGAGCAAACAGGAUUAGAUACCCCGGUAGUCCCUGUCUCUUAUAC
rnacentral:rRNA from 1 species